rnacentral:rRNA from 1 species
AACGAACGCUGGCGGCAUGCCUAACACAUGCAAGUCGAACGAAGUCUUCGGACUUAGUGGCGCACGGGUGCGUAACGCGUGGGAAUCUGCCCUUGGGUGCGGAAUAACUUCUCGAAAGGGAUGCUAAUACCGCAUAAUGUCGUAAGACCAAAGAUUUAUCGCCCAAGGAUGAGCCCGCGUAAGAUUAGCUAGUUGGUGGGGUAAAAGCCUACCAAGGCGACGAUCUUUAGCUGGUCUGAGAGGAUGAUCAGCCACACUGGGACUGAGACACGGCCCAGACUCCUACGGGAGGCAGCAGUGGGGAAUAUUGGACAAUGGGCGAAAGCCUGAUCCAGUAAUGCCGCGUGAGUGAUGAAGGCCCUAGGGUUGUAAAGCUCUUUUGGCGGGGACGGAUAAUGACGGUACCCGCAGAAC